rnacentral:rRNA from 1 species
GAAGUAAAAGUCGUAACAAGGUCUCCGUUGGUGAACCAGCGGAGGGAUCAUUAC